UACGGGGGGGGCAAGCGUUGUUCGGAAUUACUGGGCGUAAAGGGCUCGUAGGCGGCCAACUAAGUCAUACGUGAAAUCCCUCGGCUUAACCGGGGAACUGCGUCUGAUACUGGAUGGCUUGAGUUCGGGAGAGGGAUGCGGAAUUCCAGGUGUAGCGGUGAAAUGCGUAGAUAUCUGGAGGAACACCGGUGGCGAAGGCGGGUCUCUGGGCCGAUACUGGACGCUGAGGAGCGAAAGCGUGGGGAGCGAACAGG
rnacentral:rRNA from 1 species